rnacentral:rRNA from 1 species
GAUGAACGCUGGCGGCGUGCCUAACACAUGCAAGUCGAGCGAUUCUCUUCGGAGAAGAGCGGCGGACGGGUGAGUAACGCGUGGGUAACCUGCCCUGUACACACGGAUAACAUACCGAACGGUAUGCUAAUGCGAGAUAAUAUGCUUUUAUCGCAUGGUAGAAGUAUCAAAGCUUUUGCGGUACAGGAUGGACCCGCGUCUGAUUAGCUAGUUGGUAAGGUAACGGCUUACCAAGGCGACGAUCAGUAGCCGACCUGAGAGGGUGAUAGGCCACAUUGGAACUGAGACACGGUCCAAACGCCUACGGGAGGCAGCAGUGGGGAAUAUUGCACGAUGGGCGAAAGCCUGAUGCAGCAACGCCGCGUGAGCGAUGAAGGCCUUCGAGUCGUAAAGCUCUGUCCUCAAGGAAGAUAAUGACGGUACUUGAGGAGGAAGCCCCGGCUAACUACGUGCCAGCCGCCGCCGUAA